rnacentral:rRNA from 1 species
UACAGAGGGUGCGAGCGUUGUCCGGAAUCACUGGGCGUAAAGGGCGCGUAGGCGGCCUGGUAAGCGUGCGGUGAAAGCCCGGGGCUCAACCCCGGGUCGGCCGUGCGAACUGCGAGGCUGGAGCACUGUAGAGGCAGGUGGAAUUCCGGGUGUAGCGGCGGAAUGCGUAGAGAUCCGGAAGAACACCGGUGGCGAAGGCGGC